AUGUGGGCGAGUUGCGCUGUUUUCUGACAAAGGGUUGGCUUGUGAACUGUGUCUUCCGGCCCAUUGCUAGGAAACAUUGCCACUAGCCCAAGC
rnacentral:pre_miRNA from 1 species